GUGGGUUUAGGGUUGGGGUUAACGACAAAAUGAGUAAUUUCACUGGAAAUUCUGGGUAGGGCUAUCCUAAUGAGGAUAUCUGGCCUAGCUUAUCACAUAUUCACUCAACAAAUAUGGAUAGGGUUAGGUUUAGUGACACUGGGAAAAUUCAUAAUUUCAAUGUGGAAGUUUUGAGAACUGCAUAUCCUGAAUCUAGGCGGCGCAGUAUGCCUAGAUCCAAAGAUUCAGCCUGAUCUGAGCAUGCUAAGACAUUUUACAUGCUAACCUGCUAACAUACUAUGUUAACAGGCUAACAUGUUAUGCUAACCUGCUAAUAUGUUAACAUGCUAGUAUGCUAACAUGCUAAGUUUUGAGAUAAGUGCAGAAUCUGAAUCUAGGAUGCGUAGUAUGCCUAGAUCCAACGUUUCAGUCUGAUCUGAGCAUGCCAAGGCUUUUUAUUAGCUAUUUGAAAUAGCUAAAAUGCUUGUAGCUUUUUUGUACAUUUCCUAUUUUGAUGCUAGAUGCAUCCCUUGACUCUACUCUUUAAGACGGAUCGGAGGAACUUUGUUUCUAAUCUCUAGGAUAUUCCUAGGCUGAGAUACGGCAACUUCCUAUUUUGAUGCUAAUAUGCUAACAUGCUUGUAGCUUUUUUUGUACAUUGCUUAUUUUGAUGCUAGUUCCCUCACUUGACUACUCAUUAAGACAGAUCUCAGGAACUUUGUUUCUAGUGUCUACAACAAUCCUAGGCUGAGAUAUACCCACUUCCUAUUUUGAUGCUAAUAUGCUAACAUGCUUGUAGCUUUUUUGUACAUUUCCUAUUUUGAUGCUAGUUUCAUCACUUGAUUCUGGUUUGGCACAGGCCUACUUCGGGUCACCAAAACAACCCCCUCUCUGUCCUAUUACACAUUCAGGCCCCAUGGCUGUGUAGACUCCAAUUUGAGGAUCCAGUCCCUCUCGAUCCUUUUCCGGGUCCCAUCUGUCCAGGUCCCCUUAUGCUGAAGUCCCAUUACCCUUAGUGCCUCCAAACCGUGCUUCAAGAAGUGAACAACUAGAGUCACACUAACACCGGAGAAGGUGGAUACAAGGGGAAUGACCUCAUUGUCCCCUGCAGGAGUCCGCUCGGACCCUCCUCCCCCCGUGAGGAAUCCCUUUAGACAACCCCUCAGGAAGGACCGGGGAUAUCCCCGGUUCCUGAGUGCCCCAAACAGGGUUUUAGUUGCCUUCCAGAAGUCCCCCGGUUGGGAGCAGAUCCGACGGAACCUGAGGAGCUGAGAUUUCAAGAUUCCCUUGAAGGAGGUAAAAGAAUCGGGACCGUGGCUCAUCGGGGGGUGACAGGUUUAAUAAUUAUAUCCCUGUUAUGCCGAAGUUGGUCCAGGGCCUUCCUUUCCCUGGGAUUCAAAUUGGAUGGGUGUAUGUCAUCCCAAGGUAAGUGACGGACCGCAUAAUUAUCGGCCCUGAUUAUUUUUCUGAUCAUUUCAGGUACCUGGGAUAAACUUGGUAUCCAAGUGGAUUUUAGGACGAAUGGAGGAGGCUCCCGCUGUUUCCUCCGUUCAAAGAAGGCCAUCAGCAAUAGCCUCCUGUGGUAAUGUUGGAGAUCAAAGGUAAGUUGUUUUUUUGUGGUAUUAUUAAUUUUUGGAGUCGGUAUAAAUGAUAAGCCCUUGUUUAAUAAUCGUAGAUGAUUCUUUGUGGGGGUGAAGUUUUUGACUAAAUUAACCACUCCAGCCCCACUCUGCAAUCCCAGGUUCGGGUUUGAAGGGCUUAAACGUUUAGGUAAGUGCACCAGUGUUGAAGGAUCGCUCUGGCGCACGUGGGUGUCCAGUGGACAAAGUCCUUUGUCACCUGGAGUUGUUUCUCCGGUAGUACAGGUAAGUGUUGGCAGUUUUUCCUAAUAUGGGUAUUCAGGUCAGACAAAAAUGGACUGUUCACAUGGUUUCAGGGAUUUAGAAAAGUUCACCAGGGGAAUAUAAAUAGCUGCCCCUGGGAACCUUUCCCUAGUUGCCCUCACUGCCCUCUGAAGCUGCUUGACCGCAGUUUCUUUAUGUUUUUGGGUCCUGUGAUUGAUGCCAAAUGACAAGAUGACCCCCUCCAUCACAGUUUGUACAUUGGCUUUAGAUAUGAAGGCCUCUGCGUGCCUGAAUGUGGCCCCUGGGUAACUGUCAAUCUGUAGGUGUUCCAGAUCAAAUUCUGGUAUUCUCCCCAGAUUGGAAUCCCCUAGGAUACACCACUUCUUCCUCACGCUAAGACCCCAUUCUAACAUCUUUCUGUUGGUGUUGAUGCGUCUUGUGGGUCUGAACUUUUUAAUUCGGCCCAUCGGGUCAGGUAAUGGGCUGAGCUGUGGAGGGGGCAGAGGACUAUUCUGCUGGUCCUCCUCAGAGAGGCACAGCAGUGCGUCCACUGGGGACUGCAUGACCCCUAGUAAAUUCUCUCCCUCAUUAGGCUGGGAUUCAGUGGAUUCCGCAUGUACCAGUACCAAGCGCUGGUCAAAUGCUAAUCCCUGUGGUUCACGAAUCGGUAGUGGAGUGUUCAGCUUAUUACUCUCCCCCGUGUCAUCACCAGAUACUAUCUCCGAAAGGUCCGGAAAAUCCUGUAAAUGGACGACAGCCGGGCUCUGUGCUAUGGGUUUCAACCCCUCAACCGUAUUGCUAGCCUUCCUACGGGGUCGUGGUAUAGGUGAUGGGAUGGAUAAGAUGAAAGGUAAAUUUGAGAUUGGAAGAAAAUUUAUGUUGUAAGAGUCCCGGUUUCUUUCUUUCUAUGAUGGCUGUUUCGAGAGAUAAAGGAAUGAGACCAGCAAUAGGGAAGGAAUGCAUGAUGUUAGUUACCAGAGAGGAAAGAGAGGGCAAACAGGAUUUAACCAUAUAAGUAGGAAAUGAGUCCAACUGACAGGUAGAGGGCAUUGAUUUUCUAAAAAUACCAGAUAUUUCCUCCAGAUGGGAGUUUAAAUCUAGAAAGAAAAGAAGAGGAGGGACUAUAAGAUGUUCCAUGUACAGUUUCAUACAGAGGUCAUCUGCUGGUGGAUAUUUCCAACAUUAGCAUUUUGAGUUUCUAGCUGUUUUGACUGUGCAUUUUCCUCCACAGAUAACAAGAUAAUGAACAACCAAGAUGCCAUUGAAAAAGCUGUCUCUAGGGGGCAGUGCCUGUAUAAGAUUUCCAGUUACACCAGCUACCCGAUGCACGAUUUUUAUAGGUGUCACACAUGCAACACCACAGACCGUAAUGCCAUCUGCCUGAACUGCAUCAAGAAGUGCCAUCAAGGACAUGAUGUUGAGUUCAUUCGGCACGACAGGUUUUUCUGUGACUGUGGAGCAGGGACAUUGUCAAACCCAUGCACACUUGCUGGAGAGCCCACACAUGACACAGACACUCUGUAUGACUCUGCCCCUCCUAUAGAGUCCAAUACAUUGCAGCACAAAUGAGCUUGACCUCAGCUGUUACCUUUUAAAGGGCCGUGGACUAAACGCACCAAAUGGAUGCUUUGAUCAGUCUGGACCCAAAAAGACUCCAUGUUUAAUGUAUGAUGAUGGAGAAAGAUAUGCACACUAGAAAUAAAAUCUUUAAAAACAUACUAAAAAACUGAAAAGCAAAAGCUGACCCAGCUUUUAAUGGAAAAGUUUAUAUAUUUAAAGAAAACCUUUAAAAGGCUUUCCUGUGUCUGUGGAUGUAAAACUUUUUUUUUCUGUUAAUGCAAACGUUUUGAAGAAAAGAAGAAAUGAACGUCGAAGAGAAGCAAUAUGUUGACAGGAUUAUGGAGAGUAAGGGGGCAUGACUUCAGCUGUACUGCCUCUGUGCAACAUCUGAGAUGCUGCUGUAGGAGGAGCUUAGCUGCAGUCUGGUACUCAGAAACACAAGGAGCCAUAGUCCCUCUCACUGAAGAGGGAUGUCAUCCUGUUCAGUAGGCUGGGCGCUGCCCAUACAGCCACCUUGGCAACUGUUUCUAGACAGCAGUGGUGCUGGUAAAUGUUUGAAGGAACAAAAGGUGAUCUAGCACUUCAGCUUUUUUUAAUGCCAUUCUGAUUGACACAUGAUUUUAAUGCUUUCCCACAUAGUUUUGUAUUUUCAAGCAGAAAUCUUACUGUACUUGAAUGUCUUAUUAUUAUUAUUAUUAUUAUUAUUAUUAUUUUGAUAACACUCCCUUUGCUUACUGUAUACCUUGUCAAGCCCCGGUAUCUAAGUUCUUUCUGUGAAUGAGAAAUCAAUGGAUUACACAGAUUUGAUUUAGGAACGCUAAAUUUACUCCAGCAAUGUUAAUAUAUUAAAAGUAAUGUUUUUUUUCUCCUUUUCUUUAAUUGCAAAAGCAAAAGGAAUGUUUUGAGUAGUGUGCAUUCUUGAGCUGUGUUACCUUUUGCUAAGGUAUAAACAAUUUUGUUGAUACACUUAAAUGUGGUUAAGGCUGCUUGAAAUGACUGUUGGGGUAACCCUGUUAAGUCUCCCAUUGGUGCUCAGGCACACUAGGGACUUAGGGCUUGUAAUGCACAAAAAGUCACGUCAGGUGGUUAAAACGUUUCACAUGGGUAAUGGUGGGUGAAGUGUGCUAAAUGUUAAUCUCUGUGGAUAUCUGGCCAUUUCUGGAAGUUUUAGUUGAAAUGAUCUACAGGAAUACAUGUCUCAAAACAUUUAUUUUAACCCCUGGGGCUCAAGCAAGGCACAGCAAAUGAGUACUUUCUGGCAAAGCAUCACGAGAGAGUGUUUAUAGUGAUGUCUCGUGUGAGUGGCACUCGCGUGUGACUGUGACUUUUCCCCCUUUUUCCUCGAUAAGAAACGAGACAUUGCUGGAGAUGAACCCUAUAGCUCCCCGCUGUAUUAAAGCUGAUGUGCUUGUCUAUACAGCACUCGACUGUUUCAUGGCUUUUUUUCUUUUUUUGAGGGAUUUUAUUUGUUUUUCAUUGUGUAUUGGUGACUGUGGGUUCUCAUACAGCUUGGAUUGUAUGCAUGUACCAUACCAUCUCAAUUUAAUAUAUUGUGAAGUAUUCAACAACCAUUAUGUAGAUGCUAGUAUGAAUUAAAAGGGUAUAAUUUCCUACAAAAAAAGGAAACUUGUCAUUUUUGUUAAAUUUAGAUCAUGAAUCCAAUUGCUCUAGUAAAUGUGUUUUGCUUCUCAGGGAUACAGAAUGUUGAAAAACUGUCACGUCAAAAUUUCAAUUUUUCAGCAACCUAAGUGUCCCCAUAUGCAAACUUAGCGAAACGG